CGCUUAUCAAGAAAGGCAGAGGGAAAUGGCCCUAUGAAGCCUUGACAACCUGUUUCGUGGCAACACGAAGUAAGGUGCCAAAUCCAGCCCGCACAGCGGGAACAGAUAAGUC
rnacentral:ncRNA from 2 species